rnacentral:rRNA from 1 species
AUGUCCCACUCUGAUAAUUGUCAGCUAUGUGGCGCUAGAGACUCUUGGCGACAUUCUUUGCUUGAGUGCUCGUCUUCGAGAUGUAUAUGGGCUUUGACCGAUGGGGAUCUUGCUGAACACCUCAUUGCCACUACAAAACCAUCGGCGAAGCAGUGGUUGUUUGUGAUGAUUGAGGCACUCCCACACAAUAAAUUUGUGCUGUUGACAGUUACUCUUUGGGCUACAUGGACAGCCAGGCGAAAGGCGAUCCACGAAUCAAACUUCCAGAGUCCACAUGCCACUUAUAUCUUUGUGCAGCGGUUCAUAUCAGAGUUGGAGGCAAUCAAAAAGGUUCAGAAUAGCAUUGUUUGUGUGGCGCCGGCUAGGUACCCCCAGAGGUGGAAACCUCCAGUAGCAGGUAUGGUCAAAAUCAAUGUCGACAGAGGGCUAUCCCGUGAUGGCGCCACUGGUGCUUCUUCCGCUGUUUGCAGGGAUGACGAAGGCCGGUUCCUAGGAUCCUCGUCAAUGGUGUUUCCUGGAGUUAUAGACCCUGCCUGUUUGGAUGCCUUAGCAUGUCGAGAAGCUCAAGCACUAGCCUUGGAUUUGAAUCUAGGCAAAGUCAUUAUUUCAUGCGACAGCAAAGGAGUAGUGGACGACAUAAAAAAUGAUGCUCGUGGCAUGAACGACACUAUCAUCCGUGAAAUCAGGGAGAACAAAUUGCUUUUUCAGGCUUGUAAUAUUGGUAGAGACACGAACAAAGAAGCUCAUAGUUUGGUAAAAUUUUCAGUUUCGCUUAGUACGGGUCGCCAUUUAUGGCUAGGGUACCCGCAUGAUCCCAUUUGUAUUCCUUUGAACAUCCCCUUUGAUCAGUAA